UGAAAGGAUAACUUGUCAACGUGUGUAUCAACGAUAUAACGAGUAUUGAAACCACAUAAACUAACCUAGCUUCGGUUUGAUUGUCUUCUAAAGGUCUAAUAUUUAUACAUUGUUUAAGCACGAUAACCGCGACAAUCUUGGCAAUUGCACGUGCUUUUUGUUUCUCAUGGCGUGGGAAGACGGAACUUUGCAUAAUAUGAACUAUCAACAAUCAACUAUCAUGAAUCUAAUGCAGAAACCAAAAUUAUUUUGUGAGAUUUGAAUAAGUACAUUGUAAAAUGUCAGAACUCAUAAUUUAUCAGAAACAGUAUUGUUGAUAAGAAUAGUGUCAGGUGGUUUUAAACAAAAUUUCUUAUUCCUUUAAAA